CAGUCGCCACGGUAAUACAGAGGGUGCGAGCGUUAAUCGGAUUUACUGGGCGUAAAGCGUGCGUAGGCGGCUUUUUAAGUCGGAUGUGAAAUCCCUGAGCUUAACUUAGGAAUUGCAUUCGAUACUGGGAAGCUAGAGUAUGGGAGAGGAUGGUAGAAUUCCAGGUGUAGCGGUGAAAUGCGUAGAGAUCUGGAGGAAUACCGAUGGCGAAGCCAGCCAUCUGGCCUAAUACUGACGCUGAGGUACGAAAGCAUGGGGAGCAAACAGGAUUAGAUACCCCAGUAGUCCCUGUCUCUUAUAA
rnacentral:rRNA from 1 species